GACGAACGCUGGCGGCGUGCUUAACACAUGCAAGUCGAGCGGUAAGGCCCUUUCGGGGGUACACGAGCGGCGAACGGGUGAGUAACACGUGGGUGACCUGCCCUCAGCUCUGGGAUAAGCCUGGGAAACCGGGUCUAAUACCAGAUAUGACUCCAUGACGCAUGUUGUGGGGUGGAAAGCGUUGUGCGGCUGAGGAUGGGCCCGCGGCCUAUCAGCUUGUUGGUGGGGUGAGGCCUACCAAGGCGACGACGGGUAGCCGGCCUGAGAGGGCGACCGGCCACACUGGGACUGAGACACGGCCCAGACUCCUACGGGAGGCAGCAGUGGGGAAUCUUGCGCAAUGGGCGAAAGCCUGACGCAGCGACGCCGCGUGAGGGAUGACGGCC
rnacentral:rRNA from 1 species